CGGGGUAGUAUGUUCAUUUUCACAACCGCGAUGCGCCCUAGCCACGAUAUGUGUUGGGAGUUCCAUUCGCGUAGAUCGUGCUUUAUUUUGGUGAGGAGUGGUAUGUAGUUCGAUGAGUAUAGGUCUUGUGGGUUCUUCGUGAGCCAGAUUCCGAGGUAUUUCAUCCUGAACUCGCACCAAUGAAAUUAGAAUUGUGCGCGUAGUCGGAUGUUCUCU